UACGGGGGGGGGGCAAGCGUUGUUCGGAAUUACUGGGCGUAAAGGGCCAGUAGGCGGCCAACUAAGUCCGACGUGAAAUCCCCAGGCUUAACCUGGGAACUGCGUCGGAUACUGGAUGGCUUGAAUUCGGGGAGAGGGAUGCAGAAUUCCUGGUGUAGCGGUGAAAUGCGCAGAUAUCAGGAGGAACACCAAAUGGCGAAGGCAGCUCGCUGGGGACGUGACUGACGCUGAGACGCGAAAGCGUGGGGAGCAAACAGG
rnacentral:rRNA from 1 species